AGGCACAAUAGAUGUUUAAAGUUUGGACUUUCCUCCUUGAUACAAUAAUAGGAUUCCAUUGUUAGGCCCAGAUUCUCACAGGAAUAGCAAAGAUCUGGCAGCUCCUCAUAUAUCAAUUAUUGCCGGAUCAAAUUAUCAUUCACCCUGACCCUUGUUCCAGGGCAAAUACUUUUGGAGUUAUCAAUAAGAACACAUACCCGAGCAUAAUCCCUUCUAGUGAAAC
rnacentral:lncRNA from 1 species